rnacentral:rRNA from 1 species
CCCGCUGAACUUAAGCAUAUUAUUAAGCGGAGGAAAAGAAACUAACAAGGAUGCCCUCAGUAACGGCGAGUGAAGCGGGCAAAGCUCAACCUGAAAAUCUGGCAUCCAAACGGGCGUCUGAAUUGUGGGCUAGAGACGCGUGAUCAGUGUGUGACCCAGGUAUAAAUCUUUUGAAACAAGGUAUCAUAGAGGGUGAGAAUCCCGUCUGUGACUUGGAGUUCGCCGCGUACGAUCCGCGUUCGCAGAGUCGAGUUGUUUGGGAUUGCAGCUCUAAAUGGGUGGUAAAUUUCAUCUAAAGCUAAAUAUCGACGAGAGACCGAUAGCGAACAAGUACCGUGAGGGAAAGAUGAAAAGAACUUUGAAAAGAGAGUUAAAAAGUACUUGAAAUUGCUAAGAGGGAAGCACUGGAAACCAGUCGUGAACGGCGUGUACUCUAUCUCUCGCUCAAGAUUCAUGCGGCCAGCAGAGCCCAAAGCCUGCGAACUGUAUGUUGAAGUGAGCGGGGGUGCACCGUACUGUCGUUCGUAUCAGAAUCAAUUUGAACUCGUGGGAGAAAGCUAUGGCAACGGUAGGUUCAAGGGGGCAACUCCGAGAGCUGCUUAGUGCUGUAGUGCUACCAUGGAUCAGAUUGAGGGACAAUCGAAAUGCGCGCCACUAGGUUAUCCCUUCCUUGUUCCUGGGGUGCCAGAGGGCUUGGACAACAAAGUUGUGCGGUCUUUGAAGCGCCCUACUGAGCAGGAUGAAGGAGAAGCUGCAUUCGAGAUUCUGAUGAAAUGGUUUUCAUUGACCCGUCUUGAAACACGG